rnacentral:rRNA from 1 species
CCCGGGAAACUGGGUAUAAUACCCGAUAGUUCUGGGAUGCUGGAAUGCUUCCAGGACGAAAGCUCCGGCGACUGAGGAUGGGUCUGCGGCCUAUCAGGUAGUAGUGGGUGUAAUGUACCUACUAGCCUACGACGGGUACGGGUCGUGAGAGCGAGAGCCCGGAGAUGGAUUCUGAGACACGAAUCCAGGCCCUACGGGGUGCAGCAGGCGCGAAAACUUUACAAUGCUGGCAACAGCGAUAAGGGGACCUCGAGUGCCAGGAUACAAUCUUGGCUGUCGUAAUGCCUAAAAAGCAUUGCAUAGCAAGGGCCGGGCAAGACCGGUGCCACCGCCCGCGGUAACACCGGCGGCUCGAGUGGUAACCGCUAUUAUUGGGUCUAAAGGGUCUGUAGCCGGCCGGAUAAGUCUUUUGGGAAAUCCAGCUGCUCAACAGUUGGGCUUUCAGAAGAUACUGUUCGGCUCGAGGCCGGGAGAGGUGAGAGGUACUUCAGGGGUAGGGGUGAAAUCUUGUAAUCCUUGAAGGACCACCAGUGGCGAAGGCGUCUCACCAGAACGGUCCUGACGGCAAGGGACGAAAGCUAGGGGCACAAACCGGAUUAGAUACCCGGGUAGUCCUAGCCGUAAACGAUACUCGCUAGGUGUCAGCCACGGUGCGACCGUGGUUGGUGCCGUAGGGAAGCCGUGAAGCGAGCCACCUGGGAAGUACGGCCGCAAGGCUGAAACUUAA